rnacentral:rRNA from 1 species
ACGGCUCAGUAACACGUAGAUAACCUGCCCUUGGGUCCGGCAUAACCCCGGGAAACUGGGGAUAAUUCCGGAUAACGCAUAUAUGCUGGAAUGCUUUAUGCGUCAAAUGGAUUCGUCUGCCCAAGGAUGGGUCUGCGGCCUAUCAGGUAGUAGUGGGUGUAAUGUACCUACUAGCCAACGACGGGUACGGGUUGUGAGAGCAAGAGCCCGGAGAUGGAUUCUGAGACAUGAAUCCAGGCCCUACGGGGCGCAGCAGGCGCGAAAACUUUACAAUGCGGGAAACCGUGAUAAGGGGACACCGAGUGCCAGCAUCAUAUGCUGGCUGUCCAGGUGUUUAAACUACACCUGUUAGCAAGGGCCGGGCAAGACCGGUGCCAGCCGCCGCGGUAACACCGGCGGCCCGAGUGGUGGUCGUGAUUAUUGGGUCUAAAGGGUCCGUAGCCGGUUUGGUCAGUCCUCCGGGAAAUCUGAUAGCUUAACUAUUAGGCUUUCGGGGGAUACUGCCAGGCUUGGAACCGGGAGAGGUAAGAGGUACUACAGGGGUAGGAGUGAAAUCUUGUAAUCCCUGUGGGACCACCUGUGGCGAAGGCGUCUUACCAGAACGGGUUCGACGGUGAGGGACGAAAGCUGGGGGCACGAACCGGAUUAGAUACCCGGGUAGUCCCAGCCGUAAACGAUGCUCGCUAGGUGUCAGGCAUGGCGCGACCGUGUCUGGUGCCGCAGGGAAGCCGUGAAGCGAGCCACCUGGGAAGUACGGCCGCAAGGCUGAAACUUAAAGGAAUUGGCGGGGGAG